rnacentral:rRNA from 1 species
UACAGAGGGGGCUAGCGUUGCUCGGAAUCACUGGGCGUAAAGGGUGCGUAGGCGGGUCUUUAAGUCAGGGGUGAAAUCCUGGAGCUCAACUCCAGAACUGCCUUUGAUACUGAGGAUCUUGAGUCCGGGAGAGGUGAGUGGAACUGCGAGUGUAGAGGUGAAAUUCGUAGAUAUUCGCAAGAACACCAGUGGCGAAGGCGGCUCACUGGCCUGGUACUGACGCUGAGGCACGAAAGCGUGGGGAGCAAACAGG